rnacentral:rRNA from 1 species
GUAGGGAAUCUUCCGCAAUGGACGAAAGUCUGACGGAGCAACGCCGCGUGAGUGAUGAAGGUCUUCGGAUUGUAAAGCUCUGUUAAUCGGGACGAAAGAGCCUAGUGUGAAUAAUGCUAGGAAGUGACGGUACCGGAAUAGAAAGCCACGGCUAACUACGUGCCAGCAGCCGCGGUAAUACGUAGGUGGCAAGCGUUGUCCGGAAUUAUUGGGCGUAAAGCGCGCGCAGGCGGAUCUGCCAGUCUGUCUUAAAAGUUCGGGGCUUAACCCCGUGAUGGGAUGGAAACUACAGAUCUAGAGUAUCGGAGAGGAAAGUGGAAUUCCUAGUGUAGCGGUGAAAUGCGUAGAUAUUAGGAAGAACACCAGUGGCGAAGGCGACUUUCUGGACGAAAACUGACGCUGAGGCGCGAAAGCCAGGGGAGCGAACGGGAUUAGAUACCCCUGUAGUCC